CUACGGGCCGCUGCAGCUAAGAAUCUUCCGCAAUGGACGAAAGUCUGACGGAGCGACGCCGCGUGAACGAUGAAGGCCGUGAGGUUGUAAAGUUCUUUUCCGAGGGGAGAAUAAGGAUGGCAGGGAAUGGCCGUCUGAUGACGUGAACUCGGGAAUAAGCCCCGGCUAACUACGUGCCAGCAGCCGCGGUAACACGUAGGGGGCGAGCGUUGUUCGGAAUCAUUGGGCGUAAAGGGUGCGCAGGCGGUGACGCAAGUCUGGUGUGAAAGAUCUCGGCUCAACCGAGGGAACGCGCUGGAAACUGUGUCACUAGAGUACAGGAGGGGGAGUUGGAAUUCCAGGCGUAGGGGUGAAAUCUGUAGAUAUCUGGAAGAACACCGGUGGCGAAGGCGAACUUCUGGCCAUGUACUGACGCUGAGGCACGAAGGCGUGGGGAGCAAACAGGAUUAGAUACCCGUGUAGUC
rnacentral:rRNA from 1 species